rnacentral:rRNA from 1 species
CCCGGAGGGUAUAGGCCUUAGUAGCGGCGAGUGAAGCGGCAAAAGCUCAAAUUUGAAAUCUGGCGCCUUCGGUGUCCGAGUUGUAAUUUGAAGAUUGUAACCUUGGGGUUGGCUCUUGUCUAUGUUUCUUGGAACAGGACGUCACAGAGGGUGAGAAUCCCGUGCGAUGAGAUGCCCAAUUCUAUGUAAGGUGCUUUCGAAGAGUCGAGUUGUUUGGGAAUGCAGCUCUAAGUGGGUGGUAAAUUCCAUCUAAAGCUAAAUAUUGGCGAGAGACCGAUAGCGAACAAGUACAGUGAUGGAAAGAUGAAAAGAACUUUGAAAAGAGAGUGAAAAAGUACGUGAAAUUGUUGAAAGGGAAGGGUUUGAGAUCAUACUCCAUAUUUUGUGAGCCUUGCCUUCCUGGCGGGGUGACCACCCUCUGAUAUGUCGGGCACCAAAAUAUGGGCGGGACGAAACCGGCGGGUGAAUGUCACUUUACCACGGCGAAGAGUCAAAGCGCGCCAUAUUGCAGCUUGGCUAUUUUGACGACUGCACUUCACCAAGGUGCUGCCCUGUUGGUCCAUUCCCCC